UCCCGUUGUAAACGGAGCGCCAGACUAC
rnacentral:piRNA from 1 species